AUGACGAACGCUGGCGGCGUGCUUAACACAUGCAAGUCGAACGGAAAGGCCCUGCUUUUGUGGGGUGCUCGAGUGGCGAACGGGUGAGUAACACGUGAGUAACCUGCCCUUGACUUUGGGAUAACUUCAGGAAACUGGGGCUAAUACCGGAUAGGAGCUCCUGCUGCAUGGUGGGGGUUGGAAAGUUUCGGCGGUUGGGGAUGGACUCGCGGCUUAUCAGCUUGUUGGUGGGGUAGUGGCUUACCAAGGCUUUGACGGGUAGCCGGCCUGAGAGGGUGACCGGCCACAUUGGGACUGAGAUACGGCCCAGACUCCUACGGGAGGCAGCAGUGGGGAAUAUUGCACAAUGGGCGGAAGCCUGAUGCAGCAACGCCGCGUGCGGGAUGACGGCCUUCGGGUUGUAAACCGCUUUCGCCUGUGACGAAGCGUGAGUGACGGUAAUGGGUAAAGAAGCACCGGCUAACUACGUGCCAGCAGCCGCGGUGAUACGUAGGGUGCGAGCGUUGUCCGGAUUUAUUGGGCGUAAAGGGCUCGUAGGUGGUUGAUCGCGUCGGAAGUGUAAUCUUGGGGCUUAACCCUGAGCGUGCUUUCGAUACGGGUUGACUUGAGGAAGGUAGGGGAGAAUGGAAUUCCUGGUGGAGCGGUGGAAUGCGCAGAUAUCAGGAGGAACACCAGUGGCGAAGGCGGUUCUCUGGGCCUUUCCUGACGCUGAGGAGCGAAAGCGUGGGGAGCGAACAGGCUUAGAUACCCUGGUAGUCCACGCUGUAAACGGUGGGUACUAGGUGUGGGGUCCAUUCCACGGGUUCCGUGCCGUAGCUAACGCUUUAAGUACCCCGCCUGGGGAGUACGGCCGCAAGGCUAAAACUCAAAGGAAUUGACGGGGCCCCGCACAAGCGGCGGAGCAUGCGGAUUAAUUCGAUGCAACGCGUAGAACCUUACCUGGGUUUGACAUGGAUCGGGAGUGCUCAGAGAUGGGUGUGCCUCUUUUGGGGUCGGUUCACAGGUGGUGCAUGGCUGUCGUCAGCUCGUGUCGUGAGAUGUUGGGUUAAGUCCCGCAACGAGCGCAACCCUUGUUCACUGUUGCCAGCACGUUAUGGUGGGGACUCAGUGGAGACCGCCGGGGUCGACUCGGAGGAAGGUGGGGAUGACGUCAAGUCAUCAUGCCCCUUAUGUCCAGGGCUUCACGCAUGCUACAAUGGCUGGUACAGAGAGUGGCGAGCCUGUGAGGGUGAGCGAAUCUCGGAAAGCCGGUCUCAGUUCGGAUUGGGGUCUGCAACUCGACCUCAUGAAGUCGGAGUCGCUAGUAAUCGCAGAUCAGCAACGCUGCGGUGAAUACGUUCCCGGGGCUUGUACACACCGCCCGUCAAGUCAUGAAAGUUGGUAACACCCGAAGCCGGUGGCCUAACCGUUGUGGGGGAGCCGUCGAAGGUG
rnacentral:rRNA from 1 species